UAGAUCACGUAGAAUAUUAAUGGUCGAACAGACCAACCUUUAAAGACUUCUGCAUCUUUGGGAUAUUCUGGUCCAACAUCGAGGUCACAAACUUUUUUUUCGAUUAGAGCUCUAAAAAAAAAUAAUGCUGUUAUCCCUACGGUAACUAAUUCUUUUAAUCAGAGAGUUCUGGAUCGUAGCUGAGAGCCUAUCAAAAAAAGGAGGUUUUUAGUGCUCCUUGGUUGCCCCAACCAAAAUUUUUAGGAUUUUAGUUUCAGCUUAGUUACAAAGGUAUACUAAUUUUUUUCAAGCUCGAUAGGGUCUUCUUGUCUUUUAACAAAAUAUAGGCUUUUUCACCUAUAGAUAAAAUUCUAAGAAAUUUCAACUGAGACAGAUUUAUCCAUGUCAAACCAUUCAUUCCAGCCCUCAAUUAUAGGGCAAAUUAUUAUGCUACCUUUGCACAGUCAGGGUACUGCGGCCGUUUAAAGUUCACCGGGCAGGUAUGAUUUCUUAUAGGUGGUGUACAAGAAACGAUGUUUUU
rnacentral:rRNA from 1 species